GACAUCCUGGGGUGGGAGGGCACCUGGGUGAUGCUAAACCCAUGAGAUGAAGGGAGAUUUUGGCAAACUGAAGAGUUUUGGGGGAAUUUAGCAACACCCUCACCCCCAGUGGAGGUUAUCACAAGGCUGGCAAGAUGGUCAAGAUGCCACAGAGACAGUUUCUAAGUAAAUAACUUGCUGCUUCACACAACCUACCGCCAGCCUCCCAGCUAGCUGCCCCAGAUGGCUGGAGAGUCCGAGACGGUACCUGGGUCGUGAAAGGAAGCACCAAGUCGCAUGAAUAAUAGAAAUGGUGCGGCUGCGGCGGGGUUGAGCAAAACUCCCUGCUCGCAGCUCCGGAGCUGGGCAGAAGAGCUGCUUCUUCCCCACACAUGGGUCUGUCCUGGUGGGCCGGUGCUCUGUGGCACCGGGGAGGAGGAUGCUCGGCAGUGGGUGCCGCAUCCCCGGGCAGCGGGUGGCUGCGCUGGGUGCUGCUGUGCCAGGCUCGGUGGCCACGCAGAGCCCCCACUCCCUGCAGCGCGGUUUUCCUUCCACCACCACCUGAUCGCCAGUUCAGACCCAAAGGUUAAAAGCGUUUAAUUAUGCUGAUGCUUUCCCAGCGGAUUAAACAAGAGGAUAAAUAGACUACAGCGUGUUAUUUUGGAUUUGAUUUUGUUUUUUAAACAAGGGAAGGGAGGCAGGAGGCUGCGGCUCCUUGGCAGCUGUCACACGUUUCGCUUUUGAUGGUGUCAGUUGUGUCUGUUAGGAGGUGUUUCUCUUGCCACUGUCAGCAUUUUCCGGGGGAGUCUGAAUUCAUUGAUACAGUCUGUUUGCUGUCCACAUAUUCACAGUUCAUGUGUUACAUUUUACAUAAAGUAAACUUAGCAAGGGGAAAACUAAUUCUGCAAUUCUUCAAAGCUAAUGCACAGUAAAUAUAUUCUGACACUGACAGGUAUUUCUUAUUAAAUAGCUCUGAACUGCAGUACUAGGUUUUGCUUAAGUGGCAUUAUUCUCCCCGAGCAAAGACAGUUCAUUUAUUAGUCAUUCUGAAAACCAAAUAACAAAUAUUAUUCUCUAAGCAAACUAAACAAACCAUUUAAAAGGGGCCUGUCUGAAAUGAUUAAAGUACAGUGUCUGAAAAGCAGCUGACAUUUUAGUGCCAAAAUACCAUAUGGAGGCUCAAGUGCUUUAUUAACAUCCUUUGACCUAAGCUGCAAAAUCUCCCGACACCUUUGAGCAUGGCGGAGCAGCCUUCCUGCGUGCAAGGGGAGAGCGCAGAGGCAAAUCUUGCUGCCAGUUCUUAAGAUGUCAUUUUGGCACACUGAGGAGCGAGGUGCAAUAAUUGAGUGGCUGGAUGCGAGCAGGUUUUUUUGAUUUCUGCCAGAGAUAUGCUAUAAAAUAAUUCAGCAAAGCUGAAAGCGCGGGCUUUCCAUUUAUGCCAUAAAAAAUAAAUAUAUAGUGUUUAUCUUGCCUUCUUACAGCUCUCUUUUUCUCUUAACUAAAUAUUUCCUUUCUUCUGAGCAUCAGACAUUAUUUCUAGCUUUCAGGCAUGCAAAAUAAAAGAGUGUUUGCACUUAUAUAUGUUUAUUUAUGGUCUACAUGGGGCUGCCUUCGUGUAUCCCCAGCUCUGCUCUGAAGAUUUCCUUCACAAGCAGGAAAACAAUUUUGUACUGCAGGUCAGACAGAAAAACUGAUACCACUGUUUACACAUCUCCACUCACUGGAGAAGCUUAUUAAGCCACAGUGGGGUAAGAAAAGGCCGUUCAUCCAUAGCAGGACGAUAGAGAUAUGGGCAAGUGUUCGUGCGGACACCGUGCCAGGCACUGGUGGGAAGGGCCCCGGGAGCACUGGGAGCUGCUGGGUGCCAGGAGGAGAUGCUCACCAAAGGAGCCACUGGAGUGACCUGUUAUAAAUCGUUUGGUCAAUUGCUCUCAGCCUGUUCUGUGCACAAAAUGCUUGCGAUCUGACUUUGGGAUUUUUUUAUUUUUUAAACAAAUGUUUUCAUUAUUCAUAGGAAUUCAUCAGAUAGUGAGAGCGAGUAAGUUUUAGCCUGAGGUUUGUUCAUGAAACAUCUCCUGCAAGCACGUCCUCGCCGGCUCUGAAAGCAGGGCAGCUUGAGUUGGCAAGGACAAAAAUAAUAUAGAAGUUAUGUGCAGAGUUUAAUAAAAAACGAGCAGAUACUGAGCUGA